UACAGAGACUGCAAGCGUUAUUCGGAUUCACUGGGCGUAAAGGGUGCGCAGGCAGCCGGGUGUGUCAGAUGUGAAAUCCCGAGGCUUAACCUCGGAACUGCGUCUGAAACUACUCGGCUAGAGUAUUGGAGAGGGUAACGGAAUUCACGGUGUAGCAGUGAAAUGCGUAGAUAUCGUGAGGAACACCAGAGGCGAAGGCGGUUACCUGGACAAUUACUGACGCUCAGGCACGAAAGCAUGGGGAGCAAAAGGG
rnacentral:rRNA from 1 species